rnacentral:tRNA from 3 species
UCCACAGUAGCUCAGUGGUAGAGCGCUCGGCUGUUAACCGAGUUGUCGUAGGUUCGAAUCCUACCUGUGGAG